rnacentral:misc_RNA from 1 species
GUGAGUGGNUUAACGGGUUGUGUGGGUUGGCGGGCUCCGUGCUUCGGCAUCGAACCGUCCGCGCACGCACCACGUCAGUGACGCAUCAAGACUUUCUUGUGCUAUACGGAGAUUCCUGUGUUUGCUACCUAUGCUUAAAGGAACGGUGCCUCUCGCUACCCWUUCCUUCCCUGACCAUGCGGUUAUGGGGAGGACAUCGUAGUAGUGCCUGUGCCCCUCGCAUUGAGCGUGCCGUAAGGCGUGCACCUUGCGACGGUUCUUAGGUUGCUGCUUGAUGGUUCGGAUACGGAACAUUCGGUGGGCUUGGGUGUCUCGACACCUUUGAGUUCCAAAUUCAAGCGUUUUGUCGCUAGACAUGUACGACUGCCAUGCUCGUCGCGGGUCUCCUGCGCGGUGCGUGGCGUCGGCAAAGGAAUGCUACCUGGUUGAUCCUGCCAGUAGUCAUAUGCUUGUCUCAAAGAUUAAGCCAUGCAUGUGUAAGUAUGAACUAAUUCAGACUGUGAAACUGCGAAAUGGCU